CCUACGGGCGGCAGCAGUGAGGAAUAUUGGUCAAUGGGCGCGAGCCUGAACCAGCCAAGCCGCGUGAGGGAAGACGGUCCUAUGGAUUGUAAACCUCUUUUGUCGGGGAGCAAAAGACGCCACGCGUGGCGUUCCGAGAGUACUCGACGAACAAGCAUCGGCUAACUCCGUGCCAGCAGCCGCGGUAAUACGGAGGAUGCGAGCGUUAUCCGGAUUUAUUGGGUUAAAGGGGUGCGCAGGGGGAAGAAUAAGUCAGCGGUAAAAUUGAGGGGCUCAACCUCUUCGAGCCGUUGAAACUGGUUUUCUUGAGUGAGCGAGAAGUAUGCGGAAUGCGUGGUGUAGCGGUGAAAUGCAUAGAUAUCACGCAGAACUCCGAUGGCGAAGGCAGCAUACCGGCGCUCAACUGACGCUCAUGCACGAAAGUGUGGGUAUCGAACAGGAUUAGAUACCCGGGUAGUC
rnacentral:rRNA from 1 species